GUUGGAGGGGGCUCCAACUCCCUCUGAGCUCCCUCCCCUUGUGUCUCCUUUUCUCUAGGCCACGGAGUCCAAUUAGUGAUGCUGGUAAAUGUGUGGGUGUGGGGCCAGCCCCACAGCAUGGACAAUGCACCAGUGGCCACAGCCCUGAAGAAAACUCACCCUCCCUCCACACUGCAUCAGUCAGCAGCAGCCAGCAGCUCCUCAGAUAGGGGUGGUGCCUUGUGAGUCCCCCCCCCCCCGGGGCUGGGGUGUUAACUGCCUCAACCUCAUGCAGACAACCAGAGCUGCUGUGAGUCGUGAGUACAGCCAUUCUGCCAUGUCCACAAGACUCUUUCACAACCAACCUCUCCAGCCUCUGGCUCUUACAAUUCUUCUGCCCCAUCUUGUGUGAUGGCCCCUGGAUGUCACUUAUAUUUUGUUCAGGGACAGCAGACAUGUUUGAAACAGGGUGUGUUGGUGUAGUCAACAAAUUGUUCUAUUCAGCAUGGAGAAUAGACAUCAUAGACAUCAGAGAAUGCCCAUCAUAAUAUGGCUUGCAUAGAAAACCGAUGAUCGAAUAAUGUUUAGCUGAUACUGUUAGCAUUUUAUUGAGAUCAACUGGGUUGGUGACCUGUCAUUCAAGAGCCUGAGUCCCCAGGGUCAUCCCUGGAGGACUGGAGGGGUGCAUGGUUCCUCCCCUCAGGUCUCCUGUGCUGUCCAUUCCCAUGAUAAGUCACAAACAUGGGGACGCUCAGAGAAGUGUGGUAUAUGAUCCUUGCUCCAAGAGACUGAGGCAGGAGCAUUAGACUUUAAGACAUCCCCAGCCACUUAAUGAGUUGAAGAUCAGUUGAAGAUCAGCCUGGGCUACCAGAGACGGCGGUUUCUCCAAAAAGAAAAACAGAAUCAUGAGCCGAGGAAGCCCACAUGUAGGACAGCUUCAUCAAGAGAAGACUGACCACCCAGAUCAGGGCGUAAACAUGUAUUCAUAAACGCCAGGUAGAAUUCGUCAACGUGGCUUACAAUGGCAUCGACUAGCUGCCAGUGAUGUUUCAUUGCAUGUAAGGAAAAAAGCAAGUUGAAGAACAUUAUUUAUAAUAUGUUCUGAAGUAUACAGAAUUUAACCUGACUGCCAUUAAAUCUGCUUAGAUACAUAUUUCAAAAAAAAAAAAAAAAGCAUCCAGAAACGCACAUGAGGAGCUGUGAGCGUUUGUUCCCAUUGCUUACCCGUUAGUCCUUUCUUCUCUGUUGUUUAAAGGAAGAAGGAAAAAACCAUGUCUUUCUUCUACGACUCACCUUGGCUUUUCUUACUUACAGUGGUCCAUGCUGGCGGUCCCAGCUACUCAGCAAGAGAAGGCUGGCACAUGAGGUAGGCUCUCCAAGGAGAAAAACAAGAGGCUGCCAAAAUGGCCUGUGGAGAAGGAAAGAGUGUCCACCAUGUGUGAAUCAGACUGCUAACAAAGUAACAGACAGCAUCCAGCCAGUCACACACACCACCUACAACCCUAGGGCACUUUGGAAAAGAACCCCUUCUUUCCCAAACCUGCUAUAAAUGCAAAGAAAAUAAGCUAAAAUAAAAACAUUUGACCAAAAUGGCUCCUCAAUUGGUGCCCCAAAGUGUGACCACGAGUGUCCUUCAGAGCAUCCAUACCUCCCU
rnacentral:lncRNA from 1 species